UGAGGGAGCGCGUGGAGAGAGCAUUCGCUGCCUCCCGGUUCCUGUUGCAGCAGGUGAAGCUCCGGGAGGGGUUCAGGCUCGUCACAGAGCCGGAAUUCAUCAACGUCUGCUUCUGGUUCAUCCCCCCGAGCCUGAGGGGCCGGGAGGAAUCCCCGGAAUUCUGGGAAAAACUGGGAAAGGUGAGCCUGGAAUUCCCAAAUCCCAACCCUG